AUGGAGAAGGAUUUCAGUAGUUUUGCUAAGUCUGCUUGGAACAAUGCUAGAGCAGGCUCUUUUGUUGCAAAAACCUCUUCUUUGGCAGGGGCUUUGAAAACAUGGUGUAGGAAGAAGAAACCUUUUCAACAAGAGCUUCAGGAACUAGAAUCUAGUAUCAAGCAGAUUCAGGAGCUUCCAAUCAAUCAGCAAGAUCAUGCUUUAGAAAAUUCGCUUAUUCUCAGAUAUGAGCAAACUCUCUCUAAAUUGAAUAGUUUUUAUAAGCAAAGAUGUAAGAAGGGAUGGGCUGCUGAUGGUGAUCGUAAUACGAAAUUUUUUCAUCAAGCUGUGCUUAAGAGAAGGAAAAGGAAUACUAUCUACUCGGUUAAGGAUGAAAAUAAUAUUGUGCAUUUUAAGCCUAAUCUCAUUGCUAAUACCUUUGUUAAUUAUUUCAGCAACUAUGGUAGAGCUUUUCUUGCUUCUCACUUACCGGAGGGCUCUUUGGACCCUACUUAUUUAAUUCCGGAUAAAAAUGAGGUCUUGCAGAUUUUGAAGGACAUGAAGUUGAAUGCUUCUCCAGGGCCAGAUGGUUUUAAUGUCUAGCUUUAUUUGGCUACUUGGAAUUGGAUAGGAGACGAUGUCACUCAAUUGGUAGUCAAUUUUUAUAGAACAGGUAUAUUGCCCUCUCACGUGAGUGAUACAAACAUUGCUCUCAUUCCAAAACUUGUUCCCCAGGUUCCUAUGGAUUAUCGUCCC
rnacentral:rRNA from 1 species